rnacentral:sRNA from 1 species
UUCAGAGAUGAAGAAGAUGCACGAGGGGGACUUGGCGAUGGCUCUGGUUCUGGAUGAGAAAGACAGACUGAUUGAGGAGUUGAAGCUGUCUUUGAAGAGCAAAGAAGCUUUAAUUCAGUGCCUUAAAGAGGAGAAAUCUCAGAUGGCAUCUCCUGAUGAGAAUGUGUCAUCUGGAGAGCUCCGAGGACUUUGUGCUGCUCCAAGGGAAGAAAAGGAGAGAGAAACUGAGGCUGCACAAAUGGAGCAUGAGAAGGAGAGAAACAACUUUGAAGAGAGGAUCCAGGCACUUGAGGAGGACCUGAGAGAGAAGGAAAGAGAAAUUGCUACAGAGAAGAAAAAUAGUUUAAAGAGGGAUAAAGCCAUUCAGGGUUUAACCAUGGCAUUAAAAUCAAAGGAAAAAAAGGUUGAAGAACUUAACUCUGAAAUUGAAAAGCUCAGUGCUGCCUUUGCUAAAGCCAGAGAGGCCCUGCAGAAAGCACAGACCCAGGAAUUUCAGGGGACUGAAGACUAUGAGGCUGCUCUAUCAGGAAAGGAAGCCCUUUCGGCUGCGCUGCGCUCACAAAACCUCACCAAGAGUACAGAGAACCACAGACUGCGUAGAAGCAUUAAGAAGAUCACCCAGGAGCUGAGUGACUUGCAGCAGGAGAGGGAGAGACUGGAGAAGGACCUGGAGGAAGCCCAUCGAGAGAAGAGCAAAGGAGACUGCACCAUCCGUGAUCUUAGAAAUGAAGUUGAAAAAUUACGCAAUGAAGUGAAUGAAAGAGAGACAGCAGUGGAAAAUCGUUACAAGAGUCUUUUGAGUGAAAGCAAUAAAAAAUUGCACAAUCAAGAGCAAGUGAUCAAACAUCUAACAGAAAGUACCAAUCAAAAGGACGUGUUGCUUCAGAAAUUCAAUGAAAAAGAUUUGGAAGUAAUACAGCAGAAUCGCUAUUUAAUGGCUGCAGAGGAUCUCGAGCUCAGGAGUGAAGGCUUAAUAACAGAAAAGUGCUCUUCUCAACAGUCACCAGGCAGCAAAACCAUCUUCUCUAAGGAAAAGAAACAAUCAUCAGACUAUGAAGAGCUGAUUCAGGUCUUAAAGAAAGAGCAGGAAAUCUAUACCCAUCUCGUCAAAUCUCUGCAGGAAUCAGACAGUAUCAACAACCUGCAGGCUGAGUUAAACAACAUUUUUGCCCUGCGGAAGCAACUGGAGCAGGAUGUGCUUUCAUAUCAGAAUUUGCGGAAGACCUUGGAGGAGCAGAUCGGCGAAAUUCGGAGGCGGGAAGAAGAAUCAUUUUCACUUUAUAGUGAUCAAACAUCUUAUCUAAGUAUUUGCCUUGAAGAAAACAAUCGGUUUCAAGUGGAACAUUUUUCUCAAGAAGAACUUAAGAAAAAGGUCAGUGACCUUAUACAGCUAGUGAAGGAGCUGUAUACAGACAACCAGCACCUGAAGAAAACCAUUUUUGAUCUCUCCUGCAUGGGUUUCCAGGGAAAUGGGUUUCCAGAUAGACUUGCGUCUACAGAACAAACAGAGAUUAUGAAAGACCUUUCCAAAGGAGGCUGCAAAAAUGGAUACUUAAGGCACACGGAGUCUAAGAUUUCAGACUGUGAUGGGGCCCACGCACCUGGCUGCCUAGAAGAAGGCGCGUUCAUAAACCUGCUUGCCCCUUUGUUCAAUGAGAAGGCCACACUGUUACUGGAAUCCAGGCCAGACCUUCUGAAAGUGGUACGGGAACUGCUUCGGGGACAACUAUUCUUGACACAGCAGGAAGUUUCUGGAGAACACCUUGAUGGUAAAACUGAGAAGACACCUAAGCAAAAAGGUGAACUUGUACAUUUUGUCCAAACCAACUCAUUUUCCAAGCCACAUGAUGAACUGAAGUUGUCUUGUGAGGCCCAGCUAAUAAAGGCAGGCGAAGUGCCCAAGGUAGGACUGAAAGAUGCCUCAGUGCAGACUGUGGCCACGGAGGGCGACCUGCUCAGAUUCAAGCACGAAGCAACAAGAGAGGCUUGGGAAGAGAAACCGAUCAACACUGCACUCAGCGCAGAGCAUCGGUCAGAGAACCUGCACGGGGUGCCUGGGUGGCAGGCUGCCCUCCUUUCCCUCCCUGGUGUUACCAACAGAGAGGCUAAGAAGUCCCGCUUGCCAAUCUUAAUAAAACCAUCCCGGUCAUUAGGAAAUAUGUAUCGUCUCCCUGCCACCCAGGAGGUGAUGACGCAGCUGCAGAGCCAGAUCUUGGAGCUGCAGGGGGAGCUGAAGGAGUUUAAAACUUGUAAUAAGCAACUUCACCAAAAGUUAAUUCUGGCUGAAGCAGUGAUGGAGGGGAGGCCAACGCCCGACAAAAUGUUGCUGAAUGCUCAGCCCCCUGUGGGACCAGCCUACCAGGACAGCCCAGGAGAGCAGAAAGGAAUUAAAACCACAUCUUCUGUCUGGAGAGACAAGGAAAUGGACAGUGAUCAGCAAACAAGCUACGAGAUCGACUCUGAGAUUUGCCCACCUGAUGACCUUGCCAGCUUGCCAUCAUGCAAAGAAAAUCCUGAAGAUGUUCUGAGCCCAACUUCAGUAGCUACUUACCUGAGUUCCAAGAGUCAGCCUUCUGCUAAAGUCAGUGUGAUGGGGACUGAUCAGUCAGAGAGCAUUAAUACCUCAAAUGAGACAGAAUACUUAAAACAGAAAAUCCAUGACUUGGAAACUGAGCUGGAAGGCUACCAGAAUUUCAUAUUUCAGCUUCAAAAGCACUCCCAGUGCAGUGAGGCCAUUAUUACAGUUUUGUGUGGGACAGAAGGGGCCCAGGAUGGCUUGAGCAAGCCCAAGAGUGGUUCUGAUGAGGAAGAAAUGACCUUUUCAAGUUUGCACCAAGUGCGAUACGUGAAACACAUGAAAAUCCUCCGUCCACUGGCCCCAGAGAUGAUUGACGGCAGGAUGCUGGAGAACCUCAAACAGCAGCUGGAGGAACAGGAAUACGAGCUGCAGAAGGAGCAGAAUUUGAACAUGCAACUUUUCAGUGAGAUCCAUAAUCUGCAGAAUAAGUUCAGAGAUCUCUCACCUUCCAGAUACGAUUCAUUAGUUCAGUCCCAAGCCAGGGAGCUCUCCCUUCAACGGCAGCAGAUUAAGGAUGGCCGUGGCAUCUGUGUCAUCUCCCGUCAACACAUGAACACCAUGAUUAAGGCAUUUGAGGAGUUGCUGCAGGCCAGUGAUGUGGAUUACUGCGUGGCCGAGGGUUUCCAGGAACAGCUGAAUCAAUGUGCUGAGCUGCUGGAGAAAUUGGAAAAGCUAUUUCUCAACGGAAAAUCAGUUGGAGUGGAAAUGAACACCCAGAAUGAACUGAUGGAGAGGAUUGAGGAAGACAACUUAACCUACCAACAUCUUCUACCCGAAUCUCCUGAGCCUUCAGCCUCUCAUGCGCUCUCUGAUUAUGAAACGUCUGAAAAGUCCUUCUUCUCACAAGACCAGAAGCAAGAUAAUGAGACAGAGAAGACUUCAGUUAUGGUGAACAAUUUUUCUCAAGACUUACUGAUGGAACACAUACAGGAAAUUCGAACUUUGAGAAAGCGUUUAGAAGAAUCUAUUAAAACAAAUGAGAAGCUACGGAAACAGUUGGAACGGCAAGGAUCUGAAUUUGAUCAAGGUUCUACAAACAUUUUUGCUUCUGGUUCAGAGCUUCAUAGUUCUCUAACAUCAGAAAUUCAUUUCUUGAGGAAGCAGAACCAGGCCCUCAAUGCAAUGCUCAUUAAAGGAUCCAGAGAUAAACAGAAGGAGAAUGACAAAUUACGAGAGUCCCUCUCCAGGAAGACCGUGAGCCUGGAGCACCUUCAGCGGGAGUAUGCCAGCGUGAAGGAAGAAAAUGAAAGGCUGCAGAAAGAAGGCAACGAGAAGGAGAGACACAACCAGCAGCUGAUCCAGGAGGUCCGCCGCAGCGGCCAGGAACUGAGCAGGGUACAGGAGGAGGUGAAGUUGAGGCAGCAGCUGCUCUCACAGAAUGACAAGCUAUUGCAGUCCCUCCGAGUGGAGCUGAAGGCGUAUGAGAAGCUGGAUGAAGAGCACAGGAGACUGAGAGGUACUGAGGACUUCACCUUGAGGCUACUGUGCUUUGGGCUGUAAGACUACCCGACAGCUGGCUGUAGGCACAGGAGGGCAGAGCUCAGCCCUCUCCACUCUGGCCUCGUGGGUAGAGUGGAUGGGUGUUGAAGCUAGCGCUUUGACCCACUCUUCUUCUGAAGGAACAGCAGGAAACAUAGAAGGACUGAGGCUCAGCACCCAGGCCAGCCGAGGUCUGGGUUCCCACUCACUUGUUCCCAGCUAUGUGACCCUCAGUAGGCCACUUCACCCUUUGAGCCCAUACCUACCUCUGUAAAACAUGUCUCUCAGCACCUGUUGUGUGGAGAAUUGUGUUGAAAAUUGAAUGAGACCAUUUAUUGAAAGCAUCCUAGGAAGAUACCUGACAUGUAGUAGGCACCCAGGAAACGACUUUUAUUAUAAUCGUCCUGCUAGUGUAUGUUACUUUUUGCCCAUUCAUUCAACAAACAUUUAUGGACACCUCUCAUGUGCUGGGCAUUGCUCUGGGGAUGGUUGUUGGCCUCGUUGCUCUCUGUAUCCCAGGAGAGAGACCAGCUCAGAGUGCUUCAACUAUAAGGUCUAAUGUUUCAGAAUCAAUUUUGAGGUGUGGUGAGGUGUUUUUUUUUUUUUUUUUUUUUUUUACUAAUUUUCCAGAUGGUUUCUCUCUAUUGAAAGUUUAUCUAGAAAGGGGUCAUCUCACAGCUUUUGUUUUCUCCUCAACUUGCUUUUCUUAUUCUUGCUGUUGUGUCUUUUUAAUAUAGUGUGGCUCUUAAAAUCAUCCCCUUUCAUUCUAUAAUUCUAGCCCAAAUAGAUUUUAUUACUACUAGACAUAAUUUCGGGGUUUGGUGUGCAAUUUGCUAGGCUUUUAUGGCCAGAAGCGAAAAUUAAUUUCCAGCUCUUAUUUAGCCUGUGGAAUAGCAGCAAUUAAGUCUGCCAAUAUUUUUGUUUCUAAAGUCAAGUUGUUAUUUUAAACUCUACCUAGUUCUUAGGAAGGGGGAGGGUAAUGGUGGUGGUGGGUGUAAAAUGCGAUUGAGUUCCUUCGAUGGCUGACCCUUUGGUUGUGGAAGAUGUCAGGGCUUCUCUUUGCACAUGUCCACAGAGGCGUCGGGAGAAGGCUGGAAGGGGCAGGAUCCUUUCAGGGACCUGCACAGCCUCCUGAUGGAGAUCCAGGCUCUGCGAUUGCAACUAGAAAGGAGCAUCGAAACCAGCAGCACUCUGCAGAGCAGGCUCAAGGAGCAGCUGGCAAGGGGGGCAGAGAAGGCACAGGAAGGAGCCCUCACUCUGGCUGUCCAAGCCGUGUCCAUCCCUGAGGUGCCCCUUCAGCCUGACAAACACGGUACUGUCCCUGCCUCUCCCCACUUGCUGAGAAUGCAGCUCUGAGCAUCUGUGUGUGACAUGUGAACUUCUGAAUGAUGCCUUUGCCCCACAGAGGUGUCUUUCCAUUGAUAGCUGACACGCUGUACCCUAGGAGCCAGGGGACCUGACUGCUAAUUAAUUAGCCGUCACCUUGGGCAAAGUGGCGUAAUCUCCAUCUGAGGCAUCUUGAUUCUCAGGGAAGUGGAAUUUGGACUUCCAGACACCCUCAGUGCCUCUGGCCUUGCUCCCUCCUAUCCAUUUAGUCCUGCCUGCAUCACUUUGAUGCUGAAAUUUCUUUUAGUUUCUCUUACUACGUUUAGAAGGGAACCUAAACAUCUUAAUCUGGCUUUCAGUGUCUUUCAGGAUCUGAAAAUCAUCCUGAUAGGUUUAAAAAGUGGAUCUGUUUUGCAUUUGCAUGCAGGUUAAUUGCCUAGCCCUGGAGAGGCUGUGGGGGGUACCAGGAAGAGGACCAGGCACCUCUGCCACCCGCCCACCGCAGGGCGUGGAGCAAACCAGUAAAUGGUUAGACUCCAAGCAAUCAGGCAGCCUGUCCUCUUUGCCCUAGAGAUGAAAAACAAAGGCCCAGAGAGUGGAUGGGGCUUGCCCAAAGUGGCACAGCAAGUAGGCAGCAGAGCUGGAGCUAGAAACCAUUUCCAGCUUCGAGUCCAGGGCUGUUCCUAAACCCCACUGGACUCUCUGGAGCCUGGGGUAUCCUGGGAUUAUCAUCCUGACACCCAUAGGGUAAAUGUGUGUAUUCAGUGGGAUGAGGAAUGCCAGCCUGCUUUAAAAGCAAGUAUUGUACUAAAGUUUUGACUGACUUUUACUUGGAUAUCUCUAGUUAAAAAAA